rnacentral:lncRNA from 1 species
GAGACACCUUUAAACUCCAGUGAGGAGAAAGAAAGCUACUUACCAACCAGGGUCAUUGUGUCAAUUCUGUCACUAGCUCAGUGCCGGCUCCUAGUAGAGGUCCUUAGUAAAUGGUGAGUAAAUUGAGUUGAACAAGGAAGCGGAGUAAUGACUCAUUAUCAGUCACCACCAGGCUCUGGAGUCUCUUCUUCCCCUUUGAUUGUCUUUUCUCCAGAUUUGUAUCUUUUACCACUAGUAUUAAUGAAAGCUUCUAGUAUUGCAGCUAAUGAAUUGUCCCUUAGCCUGCCCCUUUGAAGCCAACUCUCGGUUGACCCACCAGGAGCCAGUUCUUGUUAACUUGACUCUGAAUUUGUAUGUUGCCUUUCUAUCCUGUAGUAGAGGGCAAGGAAGUAGAUCCAGCAGGCAGAGACGAGAGAACAAGUCUUCUUCAGGGAUGCACAUGGACUCUGCACCUAGUAAAGUGGCUGUCUUGGCCCACUCAGGCAGACUGGGGAAUGUUUUCUAAACUCCAUGCCUUGCAGAGGGCCUUUGAGCUCUUAAGGACUGUGCAGAGAAACAGUGGGGCUCUUUAUAACUGUCAGAUGCAGCCCCAGUUAUAAAGAGGAGCAUGCAUACACAAGGGCA